rnacentral:rRNA from 1 species
CCUGCACCUGCCGGCGACCGGCGCACGGGUGAGUAACACGUAUGGAACCUGCCCGCCACAGGGGGAUAACCCGGGGAAACCCGGCCUAAUACCCCAUGCCGCCCGGACCGGGCAUCCGGACCGGGCGAAAGGAGGAAUCCGGUGGCGGCUGGGCAUGCGGCGCAUUAGCUUGACGGCGGGGUAACGGCCCACCGUGGCGACGAUGCGUAGGGGUUCUGAGAGGAAGGUCCCCCACACUGGUACUGAGACACGGACCAGACUCCUACGGGAGGCAGCAG